AAAAGGCGGUUUUGCUGAAAGCUGCAAAGUCUACAAAGUGUGAUUUCGGUUUAAUUCGAGAAAUAUGUGGUCAUCUACCACAUAGUGGAUAAAAAGAGCAUCAAGGAAGACAUAAAUAUAAAAGUGUGAUCAUAAAAAACAGUUUAUAAGUGUUUAUAUUGUGGAAUAGGUAAUACAGAAGUUCUUUUGUGUUUUAAAAUCUUACUCGACGUGAAAUUUUAAUUGCAAUAGUAAGAAAUAAGUUAACAAAAAGAAAAAACAUAUGUUCAAGGUGAUCAUUGCUUAAGCGAUUUUCUACAACAGCUGUCAAACCUUUCACACAAUGAAGCGGCUGAUUUACUAAUUCAGUGUUGGUUAUGUUUAGGUCACAACAAAUAAGAAUACAGUAGCGUCCUCCUAUAUGUUGACUUGCCGCGGUGACACUUUCCAUUAGAAAUGCAUUUCAUUUAAAGCAUUAUCGAGUGACAUCUUAAUCAAUGAAGUUGCGAGUAAACAAUAUUUCCUGGUUCCAUGCGCAGCCAACACCCACAGACGCCCAUGAGGCAAACUAUUAAAGGAGCGCCGAACA